rnacentral:rRNA from 1 species
UGAGCAACCUGCCCCUGACUCUGGGAUAACCCCGGGAAACCGGAGCUAAUACCGGAUACGACACGCGAAGGCAUCUUCUGCGUGUAGAAAGAUUUAUCGGUCAGGGAUGGGCUCGCGGCCUAUCAGCUUGUUGGUGGGGUAACGGCCCACCAAGGCGACGACGGGUAGCCGGCCUGAGAGGGCGACCGGCCACACUGGGACUGAGACACGGCCCAGACUCCGUACGGGAGCA